UCUUGACUAGUAUAUCGGUUUAGUACACGCGCUUGUCAUAUCUCUGGUCGUAAUCAGUGCGCGCGAAAGCUGGCUUCGACUCCCAGGUCGAGAG